CGCGGGCUUUACGACGGCUUCGGCUUCCCUUUUUUGAUGUUUCUCCGGCGUUCACGGCUCCCACUGCGAUCAUGCGAAACGGCGAAGAUUGCACGGAUAGCCUUCGUUCCACGAAUAUUUCAGAUUCCUCGAAUGCCGGAGAUAUAUUGGGCACCGGCCAGAUAAAACGAGCUCUCGGAUGGAGGCUAUGAUAAGUGGACCGAGGAUUCCAUAGCCCGACCAGAAACAUCGCCGUUCGACUGCAUUUCGUCCUCCCCUUUCCAACGAAUGCGAAACAAUCGCUGUAGGACUUUCUGGAGCUUUCUGGACUUCAUGAAAAGAGGGCUUGCGGCAGCUGAAUUCGAAACCUGCGGUGCCAAAGCAAUUCUGUUUGUUUUAUUUCAUGAAAGGUAUAUAAGUAUACAAGAUAGUUAAGCAAGGGAGAAACGUGCAAGGUAUUUAACAAGAAUGAAGCAUACAAGGUAUCGCAGACUUAGGAUGCGUGAAAGAUUGCAACAGAGGAAUCAAAUUUCUCUGUUACAAUCUUAAGUAGUUCGCUAGCUGAUACAUUCCACCUUUUCUGAAUCCUCCAUGUUUAUUUCUUGUUGUAAACACAGAAGCUUUCGCCGUGAGAUACAAUAUGAAACGAAUCAUCGGUUCCUGAUUGUUUAAA